rnacentral:sRNA from 1 species
GGAUCUAGAAGGUCAUCUAUGUCUUACAGAAUGCCAAGAGCCACCUUCCUACGUGAUACUGGACCAGUCACAAGACAUCCUGGAGGAAGAGACCCCGGGUGCCAGUCUGUGGCCCACCGCUGUGACCUUCCUCACCCUCUUCCUACUGAGCUUGUUCUACAGCACAGCACUCACCGUCACAACUGUACGAGGCCCAUUUGGCAGCAAAGAGGUCCCCCAGUACUGACCAGGAGCCAGCCACAGACAUCAAGGAAGUGGAAGGAAGUAGAAGGAAAUUAUGGCAGCACUUCCUGGGUUUAACCCAGUCUUCCAGAAGCCAGGCUGAGACCUCAGCAAAAGCAAAGACAUAACCCAACUCCAGGAUCCUCCCCUCUGGCUGACCACUUGUGUCUUUGCACGGAUGAAGCUUGGAGAAAGUCCUCUAUGUUUCAGAGACUGAUGUGACAGCUUCCCACCCGACUCCCAUACUUUGCUGAGCAAUAAACUGGUGCAAAAGCACA